rnacentral:rRNA from 1 species
GUCUAUGGCCAUGCUACCUUGAACAAGCCCGAUCCCAUCUGAUCUCCGAAGUGGGAGCUAAGCAGGGUCAGGCCUGGUUAGUACUUGGAUGGAAAACCACCUAGGAAGACCAGGUACUGUAGGUA